UACGUAGGGGGCAAGCGUUGUCCGGAAUCAUUGGGCGUAAAGCGCGUGUAGGCGGCUCGAUAAGUCCGUUCUGAAAGUCCAGGGCUCAACCCUGGGAUGCGGAUGGAUACUGUCGAGCUCGAGUCCGGAAGAGGCGAGUGGAAUUCCUGGUGUAGCGGUGAAAUGCGUAGAUAUCAAGAGGAACACCUGCGGCGAAGGCGGGUUGCUGGGCCGACACUGACGCUGAGGCGCGAAAGCCAGGGGAGCGAACGGG
rnacentral:rRNA from 1 species